GGGCCCAUAGCUCAACGGUAGAGCAGCGGACUCAUAAUCCGUUGGUUCCAGGUUCGAAUCCUGGUGGGCCCACCA
rnacentral:tRNA from 2 species